UAACCCUUUCUUUUAGAAAUCUUGAUUUUGAGAAAAAAGGGCUUGAUUUGGUGUAGCUUUGUGGAUGUUCUUGCUUGGGAAGAACUUGAGGAACUUGUGGUAAUGAUCUUUAGCCUUUUUGAUUUAUUAAUUUCUGAUGUUAUGUAAUGAAUUAAGGUGUUCUUGAUUUUCUUAAAAUUAUGGAUGCAUGAUAGUGGAAUUAGAGGUGAUUUUGGUGUUAAUCUUAAUGUUUUAGCUUGAUUAUAUUGUUGAGUUGAGGAGUAUGUUUACUAGUAAUUUCAGAUGAGAUUUCUAAGGUUAUAUUGUGUUUGAAAUCUAACCUUAAGUUCUGAUUUUUGUUGUGUUCAAGCAUGAGGUAUUUGGGGUUUUGAUGUUCAUGAUUAUAGACUUGAUUUCUAGGUUGAAUUUUGCUCAAGUGUUGAGCUUGGCUUGAGUGUUGUUAAACUAAUUUGUGGGAUACAUAUUCUGUGGUGAAUUUAAGCAUGAAAUUUGUGUUUUUACUCUGUGAUUUGGUUGAGGUUCGAAUAUAUGGUAAAGUGGGCAUGUUUAAGACCUUAAAAAUGGAGUUUUGGGGUGUUCUAAACCCAGUAGUCGCGACGGGAUUUUCGGCCGUCGCGACUGGAUCUGGCAGUGAGAAAUUCUGUUUUUCUCAAUUUUGUUUUGGCCAUAACUUUUGACUCGGGACUCCGUUUGGGACGUUCUUUAUACCGUUGGAAAGCUCUUUUCGAGCUCUAUGUGAUUAUCUGUAUUUGAAAUGCCAUGAAUUUAUUUUAUGAAUGUGAAAUCAGGGGUUAACCCUAUUUGUGAAAAUCCCGGAUUGUGUGUGACUAGGAUUACCGGCACCUGGUCAGGAGCACCCGGGGAUUUGGAAUCUCUACUAUUGCGGGACAACAGGAAAGGGUAAGGCAUUAGCUGAUCAGCCAUGAGUUUCAGGAGCAGGGCGAAGAAUGUACAUGUUCAUGCCACUUCAGACCAAGCGGGUUAUGGGUCUAACAGUGUUGACUUUUGUAUUCUGUUUUGCCGCUUAGGUCGGCUAGUAAGAAAGAACUUGUAAUAAUUUUGUAAAUAUUUUUGGGAUCCCAACUAUGUUUGAAAAAGUUUAAAUAUAUUACAAGUUUAUUUUCA